rnacentral:RNase_P_RNA from 1 species
UUGACAAACGCUGCAUUUUUAUAAUGUAGAGGAAAGUCCAUGCUCGCACAAUCUGAGAUGAUUGUAGUGUUCGUGCAAGAGGAAAAAAUAACUCUUGGUAGGUAGUAUAACCUAACGGCGUCUUAAAAUACCUACGUCAUAUGAUAUGGUAUGAGUGGAUGUAAAGUGCCAAAGUGACGAAGAAUCUAGAAAUAGAGGAAGUGGAACGUGGUAAACCCCGCGAGCGAGAAACCCAAAUUUUGGUAGGGGAGCUUGAUUACUGGAAAUUGAACCAGUAACAGGAUUGAGUAAUCAAUAGAUAAAUGUUUGUCACCUUUUUAAGGUACAGAACAUGGCUUAUAA